CGGAAAAAGCACGUAACGCAAACGAGCAGUUUGUUGACUGUAUCGCUCUCAAUCCCUUGAUGCGCAACAAGUCGAUAGUGCUACAGAGACGUUUGAAUGAGACUACCCACAGCAACCUUUGACCACAGUCACUUGUGAUUUAACUCUUGUCGGCGUAGUUUUUUUGUUUUUGCAGAGCAAAUCGAUUUUACCGGUUUGUAUUUAGUCCCGGUGGACAACGACCCGUGACCUCUAAGAGCUGGGCCUUUGUUUGACAAGCGUGAUUGUCAAUAUGCAUAUUGUACUAAUGUUAUGUUAGCCCCCCUGGGCGACACACUCUAACGUUUACGGAGAGUGGCGAGAUCACAUAGAAGUCACAGUCAACUAAUUAAGAGGGGGAUGCACGCAUCUUUCUGAGGUUGAGCUCGAAGAUUUGGAGACGUUUUCAUGUUUUCCUUUUUCAUUUCGUCCAAGUUUUCAUAAAAAGCUCAUCGUCUUUCCGUGUGAUAAGCAGGUGCUAAGACUGAUCGGGAUGCCUCGGAUACGACGAAGUUCACAGUUUUUCUUACAUUCGGCGUGGAUUCAGCCAAAUGCAGACGAUUUUUGCACGAAACUCACGCAUCAAACGUGAUACUGAAGAGGCCAUGCUCUGCCUAAACGAUGACAUUGUAAGAGAUCUUUGUGACGUAAUUCCGGCUGAGAAGGAAAUGACGUCAUUUGUGUGCUCGUUCCCAGUCGAGAGUACGUGACAUGUCUCGAUUGUCUCGCCAAGGUGAUAAUCUGCUUUGAUCUCGCCUGUUUGCGCCAUGUCUCCAUCUCUGUCUAACGGACAAUAACUUUAAUUUAACCAUGGCCUUUUAAGGGAACCUUUAAAAACCAGAUUUUUCAGAGAGACUGGAACCGAUGCGGACAAGGACACUCACUGUGGAAACUUUGAGGAAAAAUAUGAAAACGUUUUGCAGAGUGUGUACCCUGUGAGAAUAUAAAAACACAAUUUUUCAUGGACAAAUUUCUUUCGGCAAACAGAGUCUGGAUCAGAUGUUACCAUUAAAGGAAAACCAAAAUGGAAAAGUCUUUUUUGUCUCUAAGUUAAAUGGAGAUGUUAUAUGACAGAGGCUUACGCUGUGGUUGUGGUGCGUUACACAGCUCUCGUCCAGAGUUUGAACAAGUCCAUCUGAACUGGUUCACAAUGCCAGGAGUCGAUGACCGGCAAAUAAACAGAAUAGUGUUAAAAUGUUGCUGUAUUGAUGCAUAUAAUUCUGUGGAACUUUUUCACAUUUCCAGUAAAAUUCGCUGUUUACUGCUAAACCGUGAAGCAUCUUGAGGUGGAAUGCGUGUAUAGGGUUGUUUUCUGAACAGAGAAAAAGAUCGCUUUACGGAGUUUUAGUUUUAUUCCUUAUAAAUACACAUGUGUACUAGGAGUUGGAAACAACGCCUUCAAAACAGUUUCUUUUUGUUCAAUUUAACCCCAAACUUAAGGUUUCAGUAUUCGAAUUAAGGUAAAUAAGGCCAUAUUCUUCUCCAUGAUCUAGUUAUAAUUGAUUCUACAGACGAAUCAAAACAUAGUCCAAAAAAAAAACAGUUAUAGACAUGCAAAUUGAUUACAAUCAGUUAAAAUUGUUAAUUGGAAUCAUAAAUGUUUUUCAAAUGGAUAAUACAGAUUAAACAAUUUAAAAAGUUGAGAGUCUCUUAACUCGGUCACGCUUCAACCCUAAUUUAAGCGUCAGUGAAAUGCAGCUAUAUAGUAAACAAAGGAACGGGGUGGGGAUGGCUACGUCGAUAAUCGCAAGGCCCAUUUCCAAACCAACUUUAAAGGCCGGAUACCUAUAGGAAACAUGUAAAACCAUUUGCCAACUAUCACACUGUCGUCGCUGCUCUGGAUUUACUCUCUGCGCUGUACUUCUUUAAUAGCAUUGCAUUCCAGCACAAACCAGGAUUCUACUGAUGGAGCAAGAAUCCCGAGGACUGGUCCCUUUGCAUUGUUUUAAUGUUAUUGUAUAUUAAAUGAGAUGACAACACAACAUAUUUAGGAAUUGUAGACCAGUGGCGUCAAAUAAAUUGCAAUUAACAUCA